rnacentral:rRNA from 1 species
UGGUGAUUAUUGCACAAUGGGCGCAAGCCUGAUGCAGCCAUGCCGCGUGUAUGAAGAAGUCCUUCGGGUUGUAAAGUACUUUCAGCGGGGAGGAAGGGAGUAAAGUUAAUACCUCUGCUCAUUGACGUUACCCGCAGAAGAAGCACCGGCUAACUCCGUGCCAGCAGCCGCGGUAAUACGGAGGGUGCAAGCGUUAAUCGGAAUUACUGGGCGUAAAGCGCACGCAGGCGGUUUGUUAAGUCAGAUGUGAAAUCCCCGGGCUCAACCUGGGAACUGCAUCUGAUACUGGCAAGCUAGAGUCUCGUAGAGGGGGGUAGAAUUCCAGGUGUAGCGGUGAAAUGCGUAGAGAUCUAGUCGAAUACCGGUGGCGAAGGCGGCCCCCUGAACGAAGACUGACGCUCAGGUGCGAAAGCGUGGGGAGCAAACAGG